CUACGGGUGGCAGCAGUGAGGAAUAUUGCACAAUGGGGGGAACCCUGAUGCAGCAACGCCGCGUGGAGGAUGACGCAUUUCGGUGUGUAAACUCCUUUUAUAUGUCAAGAAAAUGGCGGUAGCAUAUGAAUAAGCACCGGCUAACUCCGUGCCAGCAGCCGCGGUAAUACGGAGGGUGCAAGCGUUACUCGGAAUCACUGGGCGUAAAGGACGCGUAGGCGGGUUGGAAAGUCAGGUGUGAAAUCCUACAGCUUAACUGUAGAACUGCACUUGAAACUUCUAAUCUAGAGUAUGGGAGGGGGAGAUGGAAUUAGUGGUGUAGGGGUAAAAUCCGUAGAUAUCACUAGGAAUACCUAAAGCGAAGGCGAUCUCCUGGAACAUUACUGACGCUAAGGCGUGAAAGCGUGGGGAGCAAUCAGGAUUAGAUACCCGAGUAGUC
rnacentral:rRNA from 1 species